GACGAACGCUGGCGGCGUGCCUAAUACAUGCAAGUAGAACGCUGAAGAGAGGAGCUUGCUCUUCUUGGAAGAGUUGCGAACGGGUGAGUAACGCGUAGGUAACCCGCCUUGUAGCGGGGGAUAACUAUUGGAAACGAUAGCUAAUACCGCAUAACAAUGGGUGACCCACGUCAUUCAUUUAAAAGGGGCAACUGCUCCACUACAAGAUGGACCUGCGUUGUAUUAGCUAGUAGGUGAGGUAACGGCUCACCUAGGCGACGAUACAUAGCCGACCUGAGAGGGUGAUCGGCCACACUGGGACUGAGACACGGCCCAGACUCCUACGGGAGGCAGCAGUAGGGAAUCUUCGGCAAUGGGGGCAACCCUGACCGAGCAACGCCGCGUGAGUGAAGAAGGUUUUCGGAUCGUAAAGCUCUGUUGUAAGUCAAGAACGAGUGUGAGAGUGGAAAGUUCACACUGUGACGGUAGCUUACCAGAAAGGGACGGCUAACUACGUGCCAGCAGCCGCGGUAAUACGCAGGUCCCGAGCGUUGUCCGGAUUUAUUGGGCGUAAAGCGAGCGCAGGCGGUUUGAUAAGUCUGAAGUUAAAGGCUGUGGCUCAACCAUAGUUCGCUUUGGAAACUGUCAAACUUGAGUGCAGAAGGGGAGAGUGGAAUUCCAUGUGUAGCGGUGAAAUGCGUAGAUAUAUGGAGGAACACCGGUGGCGAAAGCGGCUCUCUGGUCUGUAACUGACGCUGAGGCUCGAAAGCGUGGGGAGCGAACAGG
rnacentral:rRNA from 1 species